rnacentral:tRNA from 1 species
AUCUGUAUAGUUUAAACAAAACGUUAAUUUUGUAAAUUAAAUAUAGAAUAUAUCUUACAGGUA